rnacentral:rRNA from 1 species
AACAAACGCUGGCGGCGUGCAUAACACAUGCAAGUCUAACGGGAAAGUUGGCUUCGGCUGGCGAGUACCGUGGCGAACGGGUGAGUAACACGUGGGUAAUCUAACCUUGAGUUUGGGAUAACCUUGCGAAAGCGGGGCUAAUACCGAAUAAGACCACGCCUUGUACGCAAGGUGCGGUAAAAGUUGGCCUCUUCCUGAAAGCUAUCACUUGAGGAUGAGCCCGCGGCCUAUUAGCUAGUUGGUGGGGUAACGGCCCACCAAGGCGACGAUGGGUAGCCGGCCUGAGAGGGUGUACGGCCACACUGGCACUGAGAUACGGGCCAGACUCCUACGGGAGGCAGCAGUGGGGAAUUUUGCGCAAUGGGGGAAACCCUGACGCAGCAGCGCCGCGUGAGUGAUGAAGGCCUUCGGGUCGUAAAGCUCUUUUAGUGGGGAAGAAGCCCUCCAGGGCUAAUAUCUCUGGGGUCUGACGGUACCCACAGAAAAAGUUCCGGCUAACUACGUGCCAGCCGCCGCAGUAAUAC